CCACGCCGUAAACGAUGAGUACUAAGUGUCGGGCAACCGGUGCUGAAGUUAACACAUUAAGUGCUCCGCCUGAGUAGUACGGUCGCAAGACUGAAACUCAAAGGAAUUGACGGGCACCCGCACAAGCGGUGGAGCAUGCCGUUUAAUUCGAAAAUACGCGAAGAACCUUACCUAGGUUUGACAUCCCCGGCAAAGCUAUAGAAAUAUAGUGGAGGUUAUCCGGGUGACAGGUGGUGCAUGGUUGUCGUCAGCUCGUGUCGUGAGAUGUUUGGUUAAGUCCAACAACGAGCGCAACCCUCAUCAUUAGUUGCUAACAUUCAGUUGAGAACUCUAAUGAUACUGCCAGUGUAAGCUGGAGGAAGGUGGGGAUGAGGUCAAAUCAUCAUGCCCCUUACAUCUAGGGCUACAGGCGUGCUACAAUGGCCGGUACAACGAGUCGCAACACGGUGACGUGAAGCUAAUCUCUUAAAGCCGGUCCCAGUCCGGAUUGGAGUCUGCAAUUCGACUCCAUGAAGUUGGAAUCGCUAGUAAUCCCGAAUCAGAAUGUCAGGGUGAAUACGUUCCCGGGUGUUGUACACACCGCCCGUCACGCCAUGGGAGUCUGUAAUACUUGAAGUCGGUAGCCUAACCCGUAAGGGAGGGGGCCGCCCAGGGUAGGACAGGUGACUGGGGUGAAGUCGUAACAAGGUAUCCCUACGAGAACGUGGGGAUG
rnacentral:rRNA from 1 species